rnacentral:misc_RNA from 1 species
AGAGAGAGAGAGAGAGAAACUCUCCUUUGCCUCUCUCCCUACAUCUCUUUUUCCCUCUCUAUCUCACUAUGUCUCUCUCUCACUCUAUAUCUUUCCCAUUCUCUCUCUCUCUCCCCCUCCCAUGCAAUCCUAUCGUUUCAAAAUUUUUUUAUUUCUCUCUUUCUCCCUCCCUCCCUCUCUUUCCUAUUUUUUUCCCUGUACUUUUUAAAUUUUUAUGUUUUUAGCAUUUAGGAUUAGAAUUUUAUUUUAUUUACAAUUUAAGGACUUAUACUUUCAACCUUUUACAAUUUAGGAAUUUAAUGAUGUGGCGCUGAUAAUGCACGUGCCUUCAUGAUAUAGCGUUGAUGUCUACAUACCACGUCAUAUGGUGUGCUGACAUUAGCAUGUCACGUCAGACGUGGCACUAAUGUCAACACAUCAUGCCAGAGCAGUUAACAGCGUUACCUAAUUUUUUCUCGAUUUACUAACACAAUAAUAUAAUUCUUGAUUUGCAAUAAAACUUAAUUCAAUUUUCAAAUCGAAAAUGCACAAAAGCACAUGAUAUUAAAUUGUACUUUUCCCUUUAUUAUUUUUAUUUUUCUAGCUUUUCCUCUAUAGUUUUUCUAAUUUUAUUUCUUUUAAUUUUCCUAAUUUAUUCCUAAUUAGUGUUAUAUAUUCUUUCCAAAUAGAAUUGAUGUAAACACUAUAAAUAAGAAAGAAUCUUCAUUUAAUAGUUAGUGAUUAAAGAAAUAAUAGCAAAGCGCUGUCAAAUUUUAUCUCAAUUCUCAUCAAAAUAUACUUGUGCUUUGUGGCGAAUUAUCUAUCAAGGUGUUGUCACACUUCAUUCUUUUUGGUCUAAAAAUGUGGCAAUCAACCUUUAUAAUUUUGGUGGCGAUUGUCUUAUA